UUUGUGUUGCUGACUACCAAUCCUAAAAGAGUUAACCCAGCAAGCAUGACUCAGAAGCAGAGAGGGAGAUGCGAGGCCGAGAGAUUCGGAAGGCAGCACAGAAGCACAGGUGAGGAACAUAAUAACCACCAAAAAAAGGUGCAGCGUCCAGGAGCGAGGCUCCCUCGGUGUGCCUGGCCCUGGCACUGCUGGCACGGGCUCCCUGGAAGGCUGCAGUUCCGCUGUUAUAACACAGGGAGCAGGCUGGAGAAUUUAGAGCUGCGUCACAGAGCUCAGCGAGAGAGCGAGAGAGCAAGCUCCGUCGAUAGGUCUACCAGCAACAGCCCUGCUGCAGCAAGAGGGGAGAGAAGCAGCCGGAGAGGGAGAGAGGGCUCAAGAAAGAGAAGUAAUACCAACACCAGGGACGGAGCUCCUGUCACCAGACGGUGUCAUUUAGAGAACGUAUCUGGGCUCGGUUGGCGUAGGAGGCUUCGCCCAUUGACGAUGCUGGAGACCCGGCGCACUUAAUCCCGCGGGGAGGGAGAGUGGGCAGACACCAAAAGGGUUAACGGAAAGGAAAUUUCUGGAACCUUCUAUUCUGCGGCGCUACACAGCAAGCGGAGGGCUGAACGCUGCGCAGCUGGUGCACGGGCAGAGCUCCUCGGUCCGGUUCGUCUUUCCCACGUCACCACUUGCACUGUCACACCCCUCUGUCCUGCACCUGGCCUGGUCUGACUCAUCUCUUGACUGAGGGUUGCCUCUCUGCCUCAGCUCUGCAUGCAGAACAGGGAUAUUUCCUGCAGGGGAGACCAGAAAUUGAUGAUCCAAGAAUUUAAUUCUGGCAUUUCAAAAUGAAGAGGAAAAAAAACAAACAAACAAACAAAAAAAAAAGAUGCUCAUUGCAGAAUCCCCAGAACCUGCCCUUAUAUAUAGGCAGUUGUGAGAAAUCAGGUCUGCAGCACUGACUUGCCACGUUCCUGCAGACUACAUUAAAGGUCCUCAGCUAGGGAGGAGGUUCCCUUUCAUGGGGUAGAUAGGGAUUUCUUGCCUUUUUUUGCCUUGUCUAGAGGAUAUAAAGCAGCAAGGAGUCCUGAAAGGCUUAGAGAGGUUCCUCUGAAGGAAGCUAUAGCACACCGCUGCUGCUGCUAAAAUGCAUCAGAAAAGGAAAAAAGAAUAAUAACAUCGUACUUUCUUUGCUAUUACUUCCAAAAACUCUGGAAUACUUUGACAAAGCCAACUCUAACUGAUGGUAUUUGCUUGUCUCUGCACGUGUCCCCAGACACACACAUCCAACACACCCAGCAAACGCUUGAGACAAGCACUGGUUUUGCAUAUAUGCACGCUAUGCAUAUCACAUGGUCCUGAGCUGCUCUCUUUUUCUCCUUCCUCCUGCACGCUGCCUGCCCCAGCACGCUAUUGGGUUUGGAAAGAAAAGAACACAAUGUCACAGAUGGAUCCUUCCUGUAAGGUGUAUCUGCAGCUUGGCAGCAAGGGCUGACACCUCCCAGCUGCAUGCAGGGAAAGGGAGCUUGGUGAGGCCCAGGGAGAUCUGCAGGAGGUUCAGCAUCAUCUUAAUCACACCCAAAAGGAAAUUUGUUUUUGAUCAAACUAUAAAUAAUGAGUGAGCCAUUGGUCUUUAACUGCUGCAUGCUGUUGCUGGAAGUUUUGGCUGCUAUGGGAGGUGCAGAGGGGAAGGGGUCAGAGGCACUCACCAUCUUCCUCUGCCUCACAUCUCCAGCGAUGCUCUCACUUAGAGCAGUGCAAACAUAACUGACAUUCCCAGCAACUUUUAAAAACCUUACUACACCUUUCUUCCUCCUGUUAAGGCAUGUGUUCAAUAUUGAAAAAAAAAAAAAAAAAACAAAAAAACAAAACCAGCCACAAAGGGACCCUCGCUUUGAGCCUGUGUCCACAGGAUGCUGCAGUGGUCCUUGCAGGGCCAACCUCUGGCAGCAGUACCUUGCAGCCCAGCUUCUCACUAGUAAACCUUUAUGCUGAUAAUAUAGGAUGCCUCAUAAAUAACUGUGCCAGCAAGAUGGACACUGGGGAGGGAACCUGCUUUCCACUUUUCACUCACCCUGCUGCCCCAGUUAAUGGAUUUAGAAACUACAGUAAAUAUCCAGACUGUAAUCUAGUACAGCUCCUUCCCCUUCCUCCACCCCCCCCUUUCUUGGAAGGACAUGUUUCUUUCCUUGAGCUUUCCUCCGCUAUCUGUGGGUGUGCAUUAGAAAAUGUAGAUACUGAAGCAGAUUCUUGGUGUGGUUACAAAACUGAUGCUAAGAGUUGCCAAAACCCGGGGGUAUCAGUAAGUAAAACUCACAACUCCGCUUCUGCUGACCUCGAUUCCACCUCAAACCAGCUUCUGUGUCAGCACAGGUUAGAGACAGCGGCCGGGGUCUGACAGUUGGCAAAUUGCACGUGUGUAGUGGUUGGCAGGCCUGCAGCCAGCCAUCUCUUCCCACACGUUUGCUGCAGGGUAACCACCACGGCUGCAGCACAGCACUGUUCGCACCCCUUCCAUUCCCAAUAGCCGUCAGCCGCUCAUUUUCACGCUCUCCCACCUCCCCAGCAACUUUUGUUGAACCAUUUACAGUUAUAUUUUCAAACGCUCCCUUUUUAGGUUUCAUUCUGGCCCACAACUCAAAGCCAUUUCCACGUAAUUCGUUCUCAUUAAAAGUUCCUUUUUGCUGACAGGAUUUCAGUCUCCUCACGCAGCCCUGCCCUGUCUGCUCUAUAAGAGCACCCUAUUUACAAACCACGUGAGAGCUGACCCAUCGUGACAGUCACAUUUCCCUCCCCUGUCACCAAGGGCACCCAACUGCUGUGUGUCCACCUGUCCUGUGUUGACACCGAGAUCAGUCAGUGAUGGAAAGCCACAACGCUGCCCCAGGGCAGGGGAUACAGACUGACUGUGUCUGAAUGGGAUGGUAGAUUGCUUCUGGAUGGCACAAACUUCUUUUUCCCCCCCUCCUCACCUCCAAAAUCAGCACCACUGAAAACAGAUGUUUUUCACCACCUGCUGCUAAGAGCUUUACUACUCUACCUGGCGAGCAAAGGAAACAACAGUCCCUGCUGAGCAUUGGGCUUCUACAGCACACGUCUCAUUUCUCCUACAGGAGCCUCAGCUGUCCAUGAGAUGCUCAAAAUCACAUCAAUAAAAUAACUAACCCGACAGUCACCGUCUCGCUUUCUAAUAACAUCAAAUAAAUUAAUUUUUCUCCAGGUACGGUGGAGAUGAAGGACUUUCCCCUCUCAGCCUGCAGCCACACGCAAGAUCUGUCUUCCUCUGGAAGCUGGUUUCACAUGGUGGCUUAGAUUUUCCCACUUUGUAUCUAGCACCAUUUGAAAUCAGUGUUCUAGGAGCAAGAAUUACAGCGUGGGAGAAGAUCAAGCAGCUGCUAACUUCACUGACAGCCUAUCCUCCUUAAACCAGCACUUUCCCCCAUCAUUUCUUUUUCUGCCAGCCAUCCGUUCUGUAAUGCCAUCUGAUUUCUAGACACUAUACAAUCACUGUAUGCACCCACUGGAAGUUAGGGGCACAACAGGAAAAUCAUCCUUCCAAUGUAUUGCUACUUAAUAAACAAUGGCUGCCGAGUUCGAGUUGUUCAGAGUAAAAUCAUCCAAAAGUUGCAUGGAAACCAGCAAUGUGCUUCUUACACCCUGACAGGCAAAGAGUACAUUUCUCCUCCUACCCAGUCACUAAGAAGCUAGCAUUUAAUUUACUAACUUGGAGCAAAUGUACUUUAUCUGUGUGCUCUGGGAUCUUCUCAUUGUAGCAUUACCAUUCUGUAGCUUCCAAGGACUUGUUCUGCAAACACAGAAGCUCCCCCUGACAGUUUGAUCUCAACAGUCAACAAACCCACACGUGCCUUCAAUAACAGUGAUGAAAUCACUCUGAUGCACACAGAAUCCACUCCUUUUCCUAAAAUUACUUUCUUUGGAGCUUAUUGCUGCUCCCUUCCAGUAAUGUUUUGCUAGACAUUUAUUUUUCUGCAUCCAAACCACAAAAAUGAAGCCAAACUAAACUACUUUUGCCUGAUCUCGCUGCUGUCAAACACGUUUACAUACACAGAAAGGGCGAUUGCUGAGGAUGAAGCACUCAAUAGAGCACUGAAUAGUCUUCUUUAAAGAAUGCAUAGCUGUCAUCUGCAAGAGGAUCUUCUCUGAGCCAGAAAAAUGUCUCUUACACAGGCUGACCGAUUUCUCUUGGUGUUCAGAGUCUCAGUUUCUGUCUAGCACCAUUUGAAAUCGGUUAUGAUGUAGGGGGAAAAGCAACAAUAAUGGAAAACUUCAUUCCCCCCAGCCCCAGAGUCCCUAUAAACAAACACCAGCAGAAGCACGACCUUGCUUCACAAACAUCCUGCGUGCUCUCCUGUUCUCUGAGCCGAAGUUACACCUCUGACCGACCAUCCUGCAGCACAGGAGGACACUCAGCACCAUGGGACGCUUAAGGGGAAAGCGGAGCAUCUGCUCUGACACCCAGCUGAGGUCCCUCACCUCGAGCAAGUCAGGACUCACGCACAGCAGCACAGCCAGCCUCCCUCCUGCCCGCUGUAUCCCAUUUGUUUGCCUUAAAACUGUUAUUUACUCACAGCUUCUUCUUUCAAAUAAAAUUGUGUGCUGCUUGGGAUCAGGCUCUGUCUCAGGUAGACAGAUGACGUGGUUCCCUGCUAGACAACAUCCAA